rnacentral:rRNA from 1 species
GACGUAGGGCGCGAGCGUUGUCCGGAUUUAUUGGGCGUAAAGAGCUCGUAGGCGGCUUGUCGCGUCGAAUGUGAAAACCCGAGGCUCAACUUCGGGCUUGCAUUCGAUACGGGCAGGCUGGAGUUCGGUAGGGGAGACUGGAAUUCCUGGUGUAGCGGUGAAAUGCGCAGAUAUCAGGAGGAACACCGGUGGCGAAGGCGGGUCUCUGGAACGCAACUGACGCUGAGACGCGAAAGCGUGGGGAGCAAACAGG